UGAGGCUCUGAUAGUCCCUGCACC
rnacentral:miRNA from 1 species